rnacentral:rRNA from 1 species
UACGGAGGGUGCAAGCGUUAUCCGGAUUCACUGGGUUUAAAGGGUGCGUAGGCGGGGAAGUAAGUCCGUGGUGAAAUCUCUGAGCUUAACUCAGAAACUGCCGUGGAUACUAUUUGCCUUGAAUAUUGUGGAGGUGAGCGGAAUAUGUCAUGUAGCGGUGAAAUGCUUAGAUAUGACAUAGAACACCAAUUGCGAAGGCAGCUCACUACACAAUGAUUGACGCUGAGGCACGAAAGCGUGGGGAUCAAACAGG